rnacentral:rRNA from 1 species
CCUACGGGAGGCAGCAGUGGGGAAUAUUGGGCAAUGGGCGCAAGCCUGACCCAGCAACGCCGCGUGAAGGAAGAAGGCUUUCGGGUUGUAAACUUCUUUUGUCAGGGACGAAACAAGUGACGGUACCUGACGAAUAAGCCACUGCUAACUACGUGCCAGCAGCCGCGGUAAUACGUAGGUGGCAAGCGUUAUCCGGAUUUAUUGGGUGUACAGGGAGUGUAGGCGGGAAUGCAAGUCAGAUGUGAAAACUAUGGGCUCAACCCAUAGCCUGCAUUUGAAACUGUAUUUCUUGAGUGCUGGAGAGGCAAUCGGAAUUCCGGGUGUAGCGGUGAAAUGCGUAGAUAUACGGAGGAACACCAGUGGCGAAGGCGGAUUGCUGGACAGUAACUGACGCUGAGGCGCGAAAGCGUGGGGAGCAAACAGGAUUAGAUACCCUUGUAGUC